rnacentral:rRNA from 1 species
AUUGAACGCUGGCGGCAUGCCUUACACAUGCAAGUCGAACGGCAGCACGGGUGCUUGCACCUGGUGGCGAGUGGCGAACGGGUGAGUAAUACAUCGGAACAUGUCCUGUAGUGGGGGAUAGCCCGGCGAAAGCCGGAUUAAUACCGCAUACGAUCUACGGAUGAAAGCGGGGGACCUUCGGGCCUCGCGCUUUCGGGUUGGCCGAUGGCUGAUUAGCUAGUUGGUGGGGUAAAGGCCUACCAAGGCGACGAUCAGUAGCUGGUCUGAGAGGACGACCAGCCACACUGGGACUGAGACACGGCCCAGACUCCUACGGGAGGCAGCAGUGGGGAAUUUUGGACAAUGGGCGAAAGCCUGAUCCAGCAAUGCCGCGUGUGUGAAGAAGGCCUUCGGGUUGUAAAGCACUUUUGUCCGGAAAGAAAUCCUUGGCCCUAAUACGGUCGGGGGAUGACGGUACCGGAAGAAUAAGCACCGGCUAACUACGUG